UACGGGGGGAGCAAGCGUUGUUCGGAUUUACUGGGCGUAAAGGGUGCGUAGGCGGCCACCGCAAGUCGGUUGUGAAAUCUCCGGGCUUAACCCGGAAAGGUCAAUCGAUACUGCGGGGCUAGAGUGCAGAAGGGGCAACUGGAAUUCUCGGUGUAGCGGUGAAAUGCGUAGAUAUCGAGAGGAACACCUGCGGCGAAGGCGGGUUGCUGGGCUGACACUGACGCUGAAGCGCGAAAGCUAGGGGAGCGAACGGG
rnacentral:rRNA from 1 species